GAUUUCUUCGGAACAGCUUGGCAAGGGGAAGAUUACUUGGUGGAAAGGGCCUGACCUGGAAAGAACGUAAGGAUGACACUCGAUUUUUGGUACGGUGUGGAGGAGCCAUCAUCUUCUCUUCUGUAUACGGUUUCUCGCGGCACCGCAGUUACUCCAAAUGGCUGGAAGUAUUCCAGGAGGUCGCUCUCGAAAUUGCACCUGCGGUAAGACUGAGAUAAGACUCCGGAAUGCUUGCCAGGACAUGAAUACCAACUACGCUCUUUAACUGAAGAGGACUUUUCGCAGCUCCUUCUCAGUGAACGGUAAUGAUAAGAUUUCCGCCUCUGGUGAUGCAGUGAUAAAUAAUCUUAUAAUCUUCA